GCUGGGCGUGGUGGUGUGCACCUGUAGUCCCAGCUACUCAGGAGGCUGAGACAGGAGAAUCACUUGAACCUGGGAGGCAGAGGUUGUAGUGAGCCAAGAUUGUUCCACUGCACUCUAGCCCAGGUGACAGAGUGAGAUUCCGUCUCAA
rnacentral:SRP_RNA from 1 species